rnacentral:rRNA from 1 species
UACGUAGGGCGCAAGCGUUGUCCGGAAUUAUUGGGCGUAAAGAGCUCGUAGGCGGCUCGUUGCGUCGGCUGUGAAAUCCCGCGGCUCAACUGCGGGUCUGCAGUCGAUACGGGCAGGCUAGAGUUCGGUAGGGGAGACUGGAAUUCCUGGUGUAGCGGUGAAAUGCGCAGAUAUCGGGAGGAACACCAAUGGCGAAGGCAGCUCGCUGGGACGUUACUGACGCUGAGACGCGAAAGCGUGGGGAGCAAACAGG